rnacentral:rRNA from 1 species
UACGAAGGGGGCUAGCGUUGUUCGGAAUUACUGGGCGUAAAGCGCACGUAGGCGGACUACUAAGUCAGGGGUGAAAUCCCGGGGCUCAACCCCGGAACUGCCUUUGAUACUGAUAGUCUCGAGUCCGGAAGAGGUGAGUGGAAUUCCGAGUGUAGAGGUGAAAUUCGUAGAUAUUCGGAGGAACACCAGUGGCGAAGGCGGCUCACUGGUCCGGUACUGACGCUGAGGUGCGAAAGCGUGUGGAGCAAACAGG